rnacentral:rRNA from 1 species
AACGCGAAGAACCUUACCUGGGCUUGAACCGCACAGGACCAUCUCUGGAAACAGAGACUUCCCGCAAGGGACCUGUGUAGAGGUGCUGCAUGGCUGUCGUCAGCUCGUGCCGUGAGGUGUUGGGUUAAGUCCCGCAACGAGCGCAACCCUUACUCAUAGUUGCUACCCGCAAGGGAGAACUCUAUGAGGACUGCUCCGGAUAACGGAGAGGAAGGUGGGGAUGAGGUCAAGUCAGCAUGGCCUUUAUGUCCAGGGCUACACACGUGCUACAAUGGUCGGUACAGAAGGCAGCGAAGCUGCGAGGCGAAGCUAAUCCAUAAAACCGAUCUCAGUUCGGAUUGCAGUCUGCAACUCGGCUGCAUGAAGUUGGAAUUGCUAGUAAUGGCGUGUCAGCAACAGCGCCGUGAAUACGUUCCCGGGCCUUGUACACACCGACUGUAC